rnacentral:rRNA from 1 species
CACGUAGGAGGCGAGCGUUGUCCGGAAUCAUUGGGCGUAAAGAGCGCGCAGGCGGCUUGGCAAGUCGGGUGUGAAAUCCCGGGGCUCAACCCCGUGACUGCAUCCGAUACUGUCAGGCUAGAGGUAGGUAGGGGAGAUCGGAAUUCCUGGUGUAGCGGUGAAAUGCGUAGAUAUCCGGAGGAACACCAGUGGCGAAGGCGGGUCUCUGGGCCGAUACUGACGCUGAGGAGCGAAAGCGUGGGGAGCGAACAGG